rfam:Aneurinibacillus migulanus strain DSM 2895 super7, whole genome shotgun sequence.
CUCUUAUCAAGAGAGGCGGAGGGACUGGCCCGAUGAAGCCCGGCAACCCCGUACAUAUGUACGGAUAAGGUGCCAAUUCCAGCAGGACGGAUGAGCGUUCUGGGAGAUAAGGG